CUGACGCUGAAGUUUCGGAACAAGUUUAAAAACAGUCGUCGCAGGUCGAACAGCCCUGCAGUCGUCAAGAGGAAGAGGGGGAAGGCGGAGUCAGAGAUCCGGGUGGAGGGCAUCGCUAACCAUCACCCCAGGUCGACAAUGACGCAGCUCGAGGCGGAACAGAAGAGAAACCAGAUACUCCAGAUCGACGAAUCAGAAGAGAGACGGAUGCUGGUCAAGGCAACUCUUGGGGUGAGGCGGAAGGCCAUCAUAGAAGAGAAAAAAAGCAUCAAAAAGAUAAAGGAAUUAUACCCGUUCAUCUUCGGGUCCGACGAGUGAAGGAAACAGCCUGUGAU